UCAGCCGCCGCGGUAAUACGUAGGUGGCGAGCGUUGUCCGGAAUUACUGGGUGUAAAGGGCGUGUAGGCGGGAAUACAAGUCAGAUGUGAAAUACCGUAGCUUAACUACGGGGCUGCAUCUGAAACUGUGUUUCUUGAGUGUCGGAGAGGAAAGUGGAAUUCCCAGUGUAGCGGUGAAAUGCGUAGAUAUUGGGAGGAACACCAGUGGCGAAGGCGACUUUCUGGACGAUAACUGACGCUGAGGCGCGAAAGCGUGGGGAGCAAACAGGAUUAGAUACCCUGGUAGUCCACGCUGUAAACGAUGGAUACUAGGUGUAGGAGGUAUCGACCCCUUCUGUGCCGGAGUUAACACAAUAAGUAUCCCACCUGGGGAGUACGGCCGCAAGGUUGAAACUUAAAGGAAUUGGCGGGGGA
rnacentral:rRNA from 1 species